rnacentral:rRNA from 1 species
GUAGGGAGCGAGCGUUGUCCGGAUUCAUUGGGCGUAAAGGGUCCGUAGGCGGCUCAGCAAGUCGGGUGUGAAAUCUCCAGGCUCAACCUGGAGGGGCCACCCGAUACUGCUGUGGCUUGAGUCCAGUAGGGGAGCAUGGAAUUCCCGGUGUAGCGGUGAAAUGCGCAGAUAUCGGGAGGAACACCAGUGGCGAAGGCGGUGCUCUGGGCUGGAACUGACGCUGAUGGACGAAAGCGUGGGUAGCAAACAGGAUUAGAUACCCUGGUAGUCCACGCCGUAAACGUUGGGCACUAGGUGUGGGGUCUUAUCGACGGACUCCGUGCCGUAGCUAACGCAUUAAGUGCCCCGCCUGGGGAGUACGGCCGCAAGGCUAAA